GGUGAUUGGGGUGAAGUCGUAACAAGGUAGCCGUAGGAGAACCUGCGGCUGGAUCACCUCCUUUCUAGGGAGAAUGGAA
rnacentral:rRNA from 2 species